rnacentral:lncRNA from 1 species
AAAAACCUUGAGGGCGUAAAGUAAUGCAAACUAAAUCAAAUUCAGCAAGAUGUUUAUGUGCACUCUCUCCAAGCGAGUUGCUGAAUUUUGGAAGAACUUGAAUAAAGUCAGGCUUGAUUUCAGCAUUUUGAUUAAUCGUGGGCAACACAAUGCAUAGCGGAUGAUUUCUCUUGUAGCGGCCCAACUCUCUUAUCAACGGUGGUGGUGGCAGAAUGUCAUCACGGUCAUCAUCCCCAUCUUCAGACAUCUCAAUUUCAACUAUAGAUCAAACUCAAACAAAAAUAAAUAAAAUAAAAAAACAAAUACGAAAUAAUAGGAAAAUUACUACUUAAAAACCGAUACCCCGGCAACGGCGCCAAAAUUUGGUGCGUCGUUUUACACCAAAAAUAUCCGGCAGUCAGCCGGUAUGCCCA